rnacentral:rRNA from 1 species
GAUGAACGCUGGCGGCGUGCCUAAUACAUGCAAGUCGAGCGAACGGACGAGAAGCUUGCUUCUCUGAUGUUAGCGGCGGACGGGUGAGUAACACGUGGAUAACCUACCUAUAAGACUGGGAUAACUUCGGGAAACCGGAGCUAAUACCGGAUAAUAUUUUGAACCGCAUGGUUCAAAAGUGAAAGACGGUCUUGCUGUCACUUAUAGAUGGAUCCGCGCUGCAUUAGCUAGUUGGUAAGGUAACGGCUUACCAAGGCAACGAUGCAUAGCCGACCUGAGAGGGUGAUCGGCCACACUGGAACUGAGACACGGUCCAGACUCCUACGGGAGGCAGCAGUAGGGAAUCUUCCGCAAUGGGCGAAAGCCUGACGGAGCAACGCCGCGUGAGUGAUGAAGGUCUUCGGAUCGUAAAACUCUGUUAUUAGGGAAGAACAUAUGUGUAAGUAACUGUGCACAUCUUGACGGUACCUAAUCAGAAAGCCACGGCUAACUACGUGCCAGCAGCCGCGGUAAUACGUAGGUGGCAAGCGUUAUCCGGAAUUAUUGGGCGUAAAGCGCGCGUAGGCGGUUUUUUAAGUCUGAUGUGAAAGCCCACGGCUCAACCGUGGAGGGUCAUUGGAAACUGGAAAACUUGAGUGCAGAAGAGGAAAGUGGAAUUCCAUGUGUAGCGGUGAAAUGCGCAGAGAUAUGGAGGAACACCAGUGGCGAAGGCGACUUUCUGGUCUGUAACUGACGCUGAUGUGCGAAAGCGUGGGGAUCAAACAGGAUUAGAUACCCUGGUAGUCCACGCCGUAAACGAUGAGUGCUAAGUGUUAGGGGGUUUCCGCCCCUUAGUGCUGCAGCUAACGCAUUAAGCACUCCGCCUGGGGAGUACGACCGCAAGGUUGAAACUCAAAGGAAUUGACGGGGACCCGCACAAGCGGUGGAGCAUGUGGUUUAAUUCGAAGCAACGCGAAGAACCUUACCAAAUCUUGACAUCCUUUGACAACUCUAGAGAUAGAGCCUUCCCCUUCGGGGGACAAAGUGACAGGUGGUGCAUGGUUGUCGUCAGCUCGUGUCGUGAGAUGUUGGGUUAAGUCCCGCAACGAGCGCAACCCUUAAGCUUAGUUGCCAUCAUUAAGUUGGGCACUCUAAGUUGACUGCCGGUGACAAACCGGAGGAAGGUGGGGAUGACGCCAAAUCAUCAUGCCCCUUAUGAUUUGGGCUACACACGUGCUACAAUGGACAAUACAAAGGGCAGCGAAACCGCGAGGUCAAGCAAAUCCCAUAAAGUUGUUCUCAGUUCGGAUUGUAGUCUGCAACUCGACUACAUGAAGCUGGAGUCGCUAGUAAUCGUAGAUCAGCAUGCUACGGUGAAUACGUUCCCGGGUCU